AUGAUGUGGAUGUCCACUACUUUUUGUGCUCAGGAAAAUCUUUCAGUCAGCAUGAGAGGGACAUAUUGGCUACUGGAUUUACAACAAGAGAAGAAACUACAGUUAAGGAGAAAACACAGAAUGAGGAAAACAAAGUGCAAGAAAUUUUACAUUGGUGAGGAAGUCGCUCCAAAAUGCUACAAGACAAAUUAUAUUGACCAAGACGGUGAAUUGCAAGAAAAACUGAACAAAAUAUAUGGCAGAAAAACCACCCUCAAAACAAUUGUCAAGAAUGAGAUCGAUCGACUUGAAAAAGCUGGUGUUGUCAGACACACCAACUACAUAGACAUGACAGAAGAAGUGGAACAAUUUUGCAAGCUGAUGUCAGAACCUGGAAACAUUGAGAAUGCCAGAGACACUACAUCUGAAGGAAAAAGAGUUACAGAUGUGGCAUGA
rnacentral:sRNA from 1 species